CAGUCGUCCCUUUGUCUUUUGAAGUUACUCCCACUGUGGAAGAACAAAUGGACACAGUCACAGGGCCAAAUGAGGAGUUCACACCAGUUCUGGGAUCUCCAGUGACACCUCCUGGAAUAAUGGUGGGGGAACCCAGCAUUUCCCCUGCACUUCCUGCUUUGGAGGCAUCCUCUGAGAGAAGAACUGUUGUUCCAUCUAUUACUCGUGUUAAUACAGCUGCCUCAUAUGGCCUGGACCAACUUGAAUCUGAAGGUAUUCAUGCUUUGAAGGGGAUCUUUUCAAGGACUGGUUGAGUGAGUCACUGAGCAAAUGUUUUUGAAAAAGAAUUAAGUAGGAGUAUAUUCAAUCUGCAGUAUAGAUCAGAGGACAGUAAACUACAGCUGGGCCAAAUCUGGCCUGCCACUUGUUUUUGAAUGGUUUGUAAGCUAAGAAUGGUUUUUACAUUUUGAAAUGAUUGAAAAAAAAAGUCAAAAGAAGAAUAAUAUUUUGUGACAUAGAAAAGUUAUAAAAAUUCAAAUUCCAGUGUUCAUAAAUAAAGCUAUAUUGGAACACAGCCA
rnacentral:lncRNA from 10 species